CGUCAGCUCGUGUCGUGAGAUGUUGGUUAAGUCCCGCAACGAGCGCAACCCCUAUUGUUUAGUUGCCAUCAUUCAGUUUGGGCACUCUAGCGAGACUGCCGGUAAUAAACCGGAGGAAGGUGGGGAUGACGUCAAAUCAUCAUGCCCCUUAUGACCUGGGCUACACACGUGCUACAAUGGCCGGUACAGACGGAGGCGAAGCCGCGAGGCGGAGCAAAUCCGAAAAAGCCGGUCUCAGUUCGGAUUGCAGGCUGCAAUUCGCCUGCAUGAAGUCGGAAUCGCUAGUAAUCGCAGGUCAGCAUACUGCGGUGAAUACGUUCCCGGGCCUU
rnacentral:rRNA from 1 species